GACGAACGCUGGCGGCGUGCCUAAUACAUGCAAGUAGAACGCUGAAGGAGGAGCUUGCUUCUCUGGAUGAGUUGCGAACGGGUGAGUAACGCGUAGGUAACCUGCCUGGUAGCGGGGGAUAACUAUUGGAAACGAUAGCUAAUACCGCAUAAGAGUAGAUGUUGCAUGACAUUUGCUUAAAAGGUGCAAUUGAAUCACUACCAGAUGGACCUGCGUUGUAUUAGCUAGUUGGUGGGGUAACGGCUCACCAAGGCGACGAUACAUAGCCGACCUGGGAGGGUGGUCGGCCACACUGGGACUGAGACACGGCCCAGACUCCUACGGGAGGCAGCAGUAGGGAAUCUUCGGCAAUAGACGGAAGUCUGACCGAGCAACGCCGCGGGAGUGAAGAAGGUUGUCGGAUCGUAAAGCUCUGUUGUAAGAGAAGAACGAGUGUGAGAGUGGAAAGUUCACACUGUGACGGUAUCUUACCAGAAAGGGACGGCUAACUACGUG
rnacentral:rRNA from 1 species